UUCCUCCUGGGCUGGGACAGAUGCUUUCCAUUUGGAACAAGUGUUUCAUGAGAGCCCUUAAGGAUGAUUGGGGACAGGGAUCCUGCAAAGACAGGAUGUCCUCCAAGCCUGGAGAUGAAGGUGACAGAAGCUAUGGAAGGCUCCAGCCUUUCAGGACACCAAAAAAGCACACAGAGGAGAUUCACAUACAUCAAGGGCAGCUUCCUCCCCAGAGGGGUAAGGAUGGAUUUCCAGGAGUUUGGGGCCUUAGGUGAGUUGUUUCUUCCUUGGGGGCAUGCUGGACCAUAGGUUUUCAGCUUGCCAGGCCAG
rnacentral:lncRNA from 1 species